GCUGGGAAAUUCAUGGCAGUAGCUUGAAGCCCCAUCUCGAGCCAGUCCCUGAUUACCCAGUUCAUCUGAAACCCAAGGAAGGAUAAGUCAAAGAAGAACUCUUAUCUCGGGACUUGAAAAGGAAAACAAGCAACAAGUAUAAAAUGUCCCUGUCUCAUGACCCUGUCCAGUUCUCAAGGAAAUGAACAUAUGGACCACCACGGGACAUCCUAGCAAGAAGGCUCUCGGCUCUUGAAGAGAGCUCUGCCACCCACUGUCCUCUUGGAGAGAGGCGUCCUCUUGGACCCUGUUCCUGUCUGGAGCUGUUCAAGGACAGCAGGCAUGGCUUCCAGGACUGGAGAACUCUGAAUAGUGAUUCUUCCCAGGCUCUGAUUCAGAGAACACAGAUCGUGUGCUUGUUCGGAGGACAGUUUUGAGUCCCUGCUGUCACCUUCCUCACCAUAGAUUCAGAGAAGGUAGGUGGAGCUUCCUUCUGAAUUUAUUUUUUUCUAACGUUUGCUUUGGUAACGCUGAAGUUGUCACCUGUUGUUUCAAGGAAUGUAAAAAUCACCAGGAGUAUUAUAUUAUAAUUCAGAUAUUAUAAUACAUUUGGAUUAUCCAAGUGCAUUCGAGUAUAGUUUCUGCUUACGUGUGUAGAUGUCCAGCAGGACUUGAAGGACAGGAGAGUCACCAAGGGGAACAGUGUAGUGAUACAAAGGGCACUAUGACCAGUUUUUGCUUCUCGUCCUGACUUUCUGCUUUUUAACCAUGUGGGCGACCUUGAGAAAGGUACUUGAGCCCUCAAUUGCUUCAUCUGCAAAAUUAGAAAUUUGGACUGGACUACAUUGAAGCUAUUCCCC
rnacentral:lncRNA from 1 species